UGUUAGGGUGUGAAACCUAAGACGCUGGCAAGUUAGCAAUGUCAUGUGACUUUAAGUAGUCAAGCUCGUUAAGUUGUUAAGUUGCUCAGUAUAUAAAGUGUGUUUGUUUUCUCUGCCUGUGGGGCGUGAAGCAAAAAUGUCUGAAAGCUCCGGAGGUAUUUCUGUUAUCUUUCUGCAAUAAACCUGUCUUUGGAAAGACAGGCUUCCCUGUGUCGUUAUUUCUUUGCUGCUGAGACUCUGAAGCUUGUACUGCAACAAGAAUCUCUGCACUGGACUUAAUUAAUACUCUGCAAAGAGAGCUGUUGCUGGUGGCGCAGCGGAAGCGUUUACUGGACCAGUACACAAACUCUCUUAGGUUAUGGAUCCUUCUACGUUUCUACAGCUGUAUUGUGUGCAGAGAAAGUGAAAGCAGCUUUCGGAUGAGAGAAGACCGGCUUAGUCGUAAAUCCAGCUCUUAAAGGCUUCAGAGGAGGCUGGAGGCGUCUGAAAAGUGAGUAAAACAAAUCCCAAGG